UCUGUCGGUCCGUCCACCAGGUGGUUUCCGGAUGAUAACUCAAGAACGCUUGGGGCUAGGAUCAUGAAACUUCAUAGGUACAUUGAUCAUGACUCGCAGAUGACCCCUAUUGAUUUUGAGGUCACUAGGUCAAAGGUCAAGGUCACGGUGACCCGAAAUAGUAAAAUGGUUUCCGGAUGAUAACUCAAGAACGCUUAGGCCUAGGAUCAUGAAACUUGAUAGAUAGAUUGAUCAUGACACGCAGAUGACCCCUAUUGAUUUUCAGGUCACUAGGUCAAAGGUCAAGGUCACAGUGACCCGAAAUAGUAAAAUGGUUUCCGGAUGAUAACUCAAGAACGCUUAGGCCUAGGAUCAUGAAACUUGAUAGGUAGAUUGAUCAUGACUCGCAGAUGACCCCUAUUGAUUUUCAGGUCACUAGGUCAAAGGUCAAGGUCACGGUGACCCGAAAUAGUAAAAUGG